rnacentral:rRNA from 1 species
GAUGAACGCUGGCGGCGUGCCUAAUACAUGCAAGUCGAGCGAACAGACGAGGAGCUUGCUCCUCUGAUGUUAGCGGCGGACGGGUGAGUAACACGUGGAUAACCUACCUAUAAGACUGGGAUAACUUCGGGAAACCGGAGCUAAUACCGGAUAACAUGUUGAACCGCAUGGUUCAACAGUGAAAGACGGUCUUGCUGUCACUUAUAGAUGGAUCCGCGCCGCAUUAGCUAGUUGGUAACGUAACGGCUUACCAAGGCAACGAUGCGUAGCCGACCUGAGGGGGUGAUCGGCCACACUGGAACUGAGACACGGUCCAGACUCCUACGGGAGGCAGCAGUAGGGAAUCUUCCGCAAUGGGCGAAAGCCUGACGGAGCAACGCCGCGUGAGUGAAGAAGGUCUUCGGAUCGUAAAACUCUGUUAUUAGGGAAGAACAAAUGUGUAAGUAACUAUGCACGUCUUGACGGUACCUAAUCAGAAAGCCACGGCUAACUACGUG